UAAUCUAUGUAGGAAAAAUGGAUGGAAACGGGGAUUUAAUGAUAAGCCGAGUUACACUUAAGAGCUAUUACAAUGCAAGGAGAAUGAAUGCUGUUGGGACCCCACCCCACUAUGCUAGUCCAUCCUUGUUCAACUAGGUCAACAUACUUUUUUCUGGCAUCUUACAUGGCAUUCCAUAAAUCGGUUUUUUUUUAUUAUGUUGGGGGGUGGGGUAUGGAACCUAACAGCAUUAUAAACAAGCAGCCAUUAGAGGAAAUCCAGUUGAACAUCUUGACAUCUAAAGAAAUGAUUGGAGUUUGAAACUUGAAAUUUCCUGCAGCCUUGCUAUAAUAUGAUAUAUAUGAUUAGAGCUAUUUGAAUGUGGAGAGUAGGGUUUACACUCGUUAUAUGAUAUUGUUCUGGCUGUGUUGCGGGGCUUGAGACCGAGAGUGAAUUGAGUGCUCAGAGCAUCAUAUAUGUUCUUUAUUUGAUUAUAUCAGAUCUUACUUGGCUAGCAUAGCAUUGAAUAAACUUUAAGAAGGUAGCAAAGGAAUCUAGAUUUUUCAUACAGGUUUUAGUGUAUUAGUAUACAAUCUCCUUUAUUAUUGUUUUUUUUUAAUUAUACAUCAUAUAGGUAUAGAUCAAGAGUUGGAAGAUAUCGCAAAUUGACAUUCACGUUUGUCCAAGCGGACAGUGUGUUGCUCACUCAAUUAUUUGAUUUUGGUUUGAAGGAAAAUGGAUUUUAUAGAUUUGGAGUAGAUCCGUCUUUAUGUAAUUUGGAAUUGUUUGAUGGUGUCGGUUUAUUGGCCACGCUGUUCAUGGCUUUUAAAUGCGAUCAGUUUCCUUUUCCUUCUUUUAUAAUGUUGAAGAGUUGGAAGAAUCAUUAUAAUAUGUGAAUUCAAACAUUAAAUAACAAAAACGCAGAUUAAGUUUAUUUUAUGAGAUAAA